rnacentral:rRNA from 1 species
GAUGAACGCUGGCGGCGUGCUUAACACAUGCAAGUCGAACGAGAAGUGAAGACGGAAACCUUCGGGCGGAAGGCUUUAUUUCGAGUGGCGGACGGGUGAGUAACGCGUGGGUAACCUGCCUCAUACAGGGGGAUAACAGUUGGAAACGACUGUUAAUACCGCAUAAGACCACAGCACCGCAUGGUGCGGGGGUAAAAACUCCGGUGGUAUGAGAUGGACCCGCGUUCGAUUAGCCAGUUGGCGGGGUAACGGCCCACCAAAGCGACGAUCGAUAGCCGAUCUGAGGGGAUGACCGGCCACAUUGGGACUGAGACACGGCCCAAACUCCUACGGGAGGCAGCAGUGGGGAAUAUUGCACAAUGGGGGAAACCCUGAUGCAGCGACGCCGCGUGAGUGAAGAAGUAUUUCGGUAUGUAAAGCUCUAUCAGCAGGGAAGAAAAUGACGGUACCUGAGUAAGAAGCCCCGGCUAACUACGUG